rnacentral:rRNA from 1 species
GUGACCUCAAAUCAGGUAGGACUACCCGCUGAACUUAAGCAUAUCAAUAAGCGGAGGAAAAGAAACUAACAAGGAUUCCCCUAGUAACUGCGAGUGAAGCGGGAAAAGCUCAAAUUUAAAAUCUGUCAGUCUUUGGCUGUCCGAGUUGUAAUCUAGAGAAGUGUUGUCGGCGCUGGACCGUGUACAAGUCUCCUGGAAUGGAGCGUCAUAGAGGGUGAGAAUCCCGUCUUUGACACGGACUGCCAGGGCUUUGUGAUGCGCUCUCGAAGAGUCGAGUUGUUUGGGAAUGCAGCUCAAAAUGGGUGGUAAAUUCCAUCUAAAGCUAAAUAUUGGCGAGAGACCGAUAGCGAACAAGUACCGUGAGGGAAAGAUGAAAAGAACUUUGGAAAGAGAGUUAAACAGUACGUGAAAUUGCUGAAAGGGAAACGCUUGAAGUCAGUCAUGUUGUCCAGGGAUCAACCUUGCUUUUGCUUGGUGUACUUUCUGGUUGACGGGUCAGCAUCAAUUUUGACCAUUGGAAAAAGAUUGAGGGAAUGUGGCAUCUUUGGAUGUGUUAUAGCCCUUGGUUGCAUACAAUGGUUGAGAUUGAGGAACUCAGCAUGCCGCAAGGCCGGGUUUUUUAAAACCACGUGCGUGC